AGCCCCCUCACAUCUGGAAGGCAAGGCCCUGCAGAGCUAGGAGCCUGAAGCUGUAACGUGCAGCCGCUAUGGGUACAGCAGCUGCUUAGAGUCACAGAUUCCUGGCCUAAUGCCCAGCUUGGACUGGGACUCAUGGAAGUCUCUCCAUAUUUGCAGAAUUACAUCAAGAGGCCAGAAGAAGGCAUUGGAGCCCCUGGAGCUGGCCAUUGUGAUCCACCCUUGGGUCCUGGGAACUCAACCAGGAUCCUCUGCAAGACCAGCAGGCUUGGCUUGAGUUCACAUACUCUAAGAAGACUUUGCUGAACUGUAGAUGACGUGUUCUUCCUCUGGACCUUCCUGCCACCUGAGCACUUAGACUGCCUAGAAGGCUGGUCUGGCAUCUUUUUCACAGAUAUGUCAUGGAUACCAAGGAUAUUGUGUACACCCCGUAGACACACAAUAAAUGUUCAAUAAAAGUCUCUGCUAUGA